rnacentral:rRNA from 1 species
CAUGUAGGCGGAUCGAUAAGUCGGGCGUGAAAUCCCCAGGCUCAACCUGGGAACUGCGCUCGAAACUGUAGGUCUUGAGUGUCGGAGAGGAUGGCGGAAUUCCUGGUGUAGAGGUGAAAUUCGUAGAUAUCAGGAGGAACACCGGUGGCGAAGGCGGCCAUCUGGACGACAACUGACGCUGAGAUACGAAAGCUGGGGAGCAAACA